AGUGAACGCUGGCGGUAGGCCUAACACAUGCAAGUCGAACGGCAGCACAGUAAGAGCUUGCUCUUACGGGUGGCGAGUGGCGGACGGGUGAGGAAUACAUCGGAAUCUACUUUUUCGUGGGGGAUAACGUAGGGAAACUUACGCUAAUACCGCAUACGACCUUCGGGGGAAAGCAGGGGAUCUUCGGACCUUGCGCGAUUGAAUGAGCCGAUGUGGGAUUAGCUAGUUGGCGGGGUAAAGGCCAACCAAGGCGACGAUCCGUAGCUGGUCUGAGAGGAUGAUCAGCCACACUGGAACUGAGACACGGUCCAGACUCCUACGGGAGGCAGCAGUGGGGAAUAUUGGACAAUGGGCGCAAGCCUGAUCCAGCCAUACCGCGUGGGUGAAGAAGGCCUUCGGGUUGUAAAGCCCUUUUGUUGGGAAAGAAAAGCAGCAGGUUAAUACCCCGCUGUUCUGACGGUACCCAAAGAAUAAGCACCGGCUAACUUCGUG
rnacentral:rRNA from 1 species